rnacentral:rRNA from 1 species
UAGUCCACGCCGUAAACGAUGAGUGCUAAGUGUUAGAGGGUUUCCGCCCUUUAGUGCUGUAGCAAACGCAUUAAGCACUCCGCCUGGGGAGUACGGCCGCAAGGCUGAAACUCAAAGGAAUUGACGGGGGGCCCGCACAAGCGGUGGAGCAUGUGGUUUAAUUCGAAGCAACGCGAAGAACCUUACCAGGUCUUGACAUCCUCUGACAACCCUAGAGAUAGGGCGUUCCCCUUCGGGGGACAGAGUGACAGGUGGUGCAUGGUUGUCGUCAGCUCGUGUCGUGAGAUGUUGGGUUAAGUCCCACAACGAGCGCAACCCUUGUCUUUAGUUGCCAUCAUUCAGUUGGGCACUUUAAAGAGACUGCCGGUGACAAACCGGAGGAAGGUAAGGAUGACGUCAAGUCAGCAUGCCCCUUAUGCUCUGGGGCUACACACGUGCUACAAUGGUCGUGACAAAG